AACGAACGCUGGCGGCAUGCCUAACACAUGCAAGUCGAACGAGACCUUCGGGUCUAGUGGCGCACGGGUGCGUAACGCGUGGGAACCUGCCCUUAGGUUCGGAAUAACUCCCCGAAAGGGGGGCUAAUAACGGAUAAUGUCUUCGGACCAAAGAUUUAUCGCCUUUGGAUGGGCCCGCGUUGGAUUAGCUAGUUGGUAGGGUAAAAGCCUACCAAGGCGACGAUCCAUAGCUGGUCUGAGAGGAUGAUCAGCCACACUGGGACUGAGACACGGCCCAGACUCCUACGGGAGGCAGCAGUGGGGAAUAUUGGACAAUGGGCGAAAGCCUGAUCCAGCAAUGCCGCGUGAGUGAUGAAGGCCUUAGGGUUGUAAAGCUCUUUUACCCGGGAUGAUAAUGACAGUACCGGGAGAAUAAGCUCCGGCUAACUCCGUG
rnacentral:rRNA from 1 species